CUUCUCUGUCUUCCUCAUAGAUCUGAAACAAGUCGCCCUCACGCUGAUCUCUCCUGUCACCUGAUCCUUUUCAGAGACUGAAAAAAUGACAUAGCUUUAAAGGGCCAUACAGAUCGUAUUAACAUAAUAUCAUUAGCGAAAUUAUAAAAACAGAAGAUCUUAAAAAGGUUAAGUAAACAAAACACAUCCUAUAAGAGUAUGCACUGUCACAAACGAAGCUAGCUAACGUUAGCUUGUUAGCUUGAGAAUACGUACCUUCAAAGUUGUCGAUAUAGCUCGAAACAUACAAUUUGAAGCCCUUCUCCUUUUUACUUGAAGGAGUGACCGAUGCUAAUCUUACAAUUCGAUUGACAUCGUUCACUGUAAUCCGUGGAAGUUCUUGCGAGCAGCGAGUGUAAAAUGCCAUGCUGAGAGCGCUCAUUGAAACGGUAGGGAAAAACUGCUUCCGCCGCAGCACCGGAAGUUGCGGAGCAACUGACACGAAACGCGGAAGUAGUCGUGCAUCGAGUCCAUUGGUCUCUUUUUAAGUAACGUUAACAUGACAGAUGACUCUGAAACGAAAGAGCGUCUCUCAGACGGAGCGGAUUGGUUUCAUUGGCAAUGACAUCACACUGCUGUAACGUGUUUAACGGUGUUUAAUGAGCGGACUUUAUAUAAAAAGACGGAAAAUCGUUAUCUGUGUGAGAUGUGGUACAUUUACCGGAAAAGACAGUCAAGUUUUUAUAACAGUUUAAUAAAUUUCAUGAGUGAAAAGGCCUGCUGUUUAUUUUAGCGGUUAACGUUAUUUCCCUCUGAAGAACGAACUGUUCCCUCAGACUAUUGUUAUUAUAAUUAACAUUACCUAUUAUAAAACUGUAUUACUUUUUCUUCAUAGGUUUAAAUGUCAUUUAUUUUUGUUGUCGGCCUGUACUUUUAAAAAGUAAUUUAACUAAAUCGGUUAAGUAAAGAGUUAUUCACCUCAGGAAAGCGCACUGCUGGGGAUGUCACUCGAAGGGGAGUCAGCUGUGCGCGCGAUGGGCACAGACCCCGGCUUAUAUAUGACCGCUGCCCGGUUUCGCUACUAAGAAUUUAAAUAUUGAGAGAGUUUAUUUUCAUUUUUUUUUUUAUUUAUGUACAUUUAUAUAAUGACACAUUGCAUUAACUUAGCAUUAAAUGUCAAAAAAAGAUGGGGUUUUCAAAUAGUGUGGUGUUUGUGUUUUCCUACUAUAUUCAAAGCAAUGGUGUUAUCAAGAUAUAACAGUCACAUAAUUUUUUUUUUAACUUCCUUCUUUUUCUCCCAGUUUGAGUCCCUCUUUGUUCAAUAUAAUUGAGCAACCCUAUAGGUGGCGAUUUACGCACGCGAGUCGCCAAUCAGCCAAUAGAUGAAGAGUCACGCUGAACGUGAUGGUUCAGAGAAUUCUGCCCUGAUGUUUGGCUGUGGUCCCUCCAUCAUCCAGACACUCUUCGGCAACUGGUCUUUGUAUGAAGGUCACCAUGAUGUAUACUGAUCUAGUUGUCUCUUCUCCCACAAACUCCAAUUUCGGGAGCUCCUACAAACUGGUGACCAUAUUGGUGAAUGAGAAUAGAGGGGAUUUUCAGACCACCAUUGAGAUGUUUACCUUCCUUCGGAGCGGAGCAACUUUUCCAUGAACUUCUGAUGCUGACCCAGAGGAUGUAGUGAUAGUACCAGAGAGCCCUCAUCAGACAAUAAUCUUAUCAGAAUCAGACAAGACACAUGACCUUUGAAUGACUGGGAUCUUGAUCUUCAGACACCUGAUAUUAUGCAAAUAUUUGUAUUUCUUUGGAGCUCUAGAUAAAACAAACACUGUUCAUAAGUACACAAGAGGUUGCACUUUAUUCUUAUUAGUCUAUGCUGAUCUUGGAUUGGCAUACCAACAGCAUAUGAUUGUUAAGGGGAUAGUUCAAAAAUAAAAUAUAUAUAUAUUUUUAAUUUUACUCACCCUCAUGCUGUCUCAAAUGCAUAUUACUGUACUUUCUUUCUACUGGACAGGUAAACACAAGUUAAGAUUUUUAGGCAAAUAAUUAAUCUCUGUGAGUCCUAAAGAUGCUUUAAAAAGCACACACAGCGACCAUGACCGUAAGCCAUCUGACCUUAGUUUUUAAAUCAGUAUCUUUUGAAGUGAAACAACAGAUAAGAAAAACACUAAUAAUAUAAACUUUUGACUAUUAAUAAUCGCUUCCACUCAACUGUCAAAUGUGCAUGGGUUACAGUUCACUUGUGUUAUGUGGAUUCUCAGAGAUGGAUUAUUUUCUUAAAAAUCUUUGUGUCAAGAAAGAAAGUUAUAUACAUCUGGAAUAGCAUGAAGGCGAGUAAAUGAAAGUAUUUUCUUUUUUUGGCGUGGACUAUCCCUGUAAAGACUGAUAUUGCACUCCAGUACAUUACAUACUCAUUCACUGUUUUGUAACUUAUACUGUAACAGGAACUGUUGAAAGGAUCAUUGCAGUGUUUAAAACAUGAAUUUUAAACAUUCUGUAUGUUAUGCUCUUGUGCAUUUUGUGUGGUAAUGUAAAUUAUAAUAAUACUGUGCAUUAUGUAUACUAUGCAGUUAGUGUUUUGUGGAUU